AUACGGAGGGUGCAAGCGUUAAUCGGAAUUACUGGGCGUAAAGCGUACGUAGGCGGCGCAUUAAGUCAGUUGUGAAAGCCCGGGGCUCAACCCCGGAAGUGCAAUUGAAACUGGUGUGCUUGAGUAUGGUAGAGGGAAGUGGAAUUCCUGGUGUAGCGGUGAAAUGCGUAGAUAUCAGGAGGAACACCCGUGGCGAAGGCGACUUCCUGGACCAAUACUGACGCUGAGGCGCGAAGGCGUGGUGAGCAAACAGGAUUAGAAACCCCGGUAGUCC
rnacentral:rRNA from 1 species